UACGUAGGUGGCAAGCGUUGUCCGGAAUUAUUGGGCGUAAAGCGCGCGCAGGUGGUUUCUUAAGUCUGAUGUGAAAGCCCACGGCUCAACCGUGGAGGGUCAUUGGAAACUGGGGAACUUGAGUGCAGAAGAGGAAAGUGGAAUUCCACGUGUAGCGGUGAAAUGCGUAGAGAUGUGGAGGAACACCAGUGGCGAAGGCGACUUUCUGGUCUGUAACUGACACUGAGGCGCGAAAGCGUGGGUAGCAAACAGG
rnacentral:rRNA from 1 species